UCGAUGAACCAUAAAUCUUUGACAAGAAAGCGAGUGGUUGGGUUCAGGGAAUCGAAUAUCAUGAGCUCUGAUGAGGUAGCAGGUCAAAAAGAAAUCUUGGAGGAUUCCCAGAAUCCCAGGUAUGAACAUACUAUAUGAAGCUACCUCAUCAUAACGCCCAACUUACUUGGUGUCAAUUUUACCGGUGACACAUUGCAGUUUGUUCAAAGGAGUCCAGGAUUAAUAACUCGAUAUGGAUUCUUGAAGCUUUUGAAGCCUCGGAACCUCCAAUGCCCAUCUCCUACUCUCUGAUUGUGAUUGCAGGGAUGUUUUCAAGUGGUCUAGAGCAUUCAUGCUCUCCACUGUUGUUGAUAAUCCAACAGUUCACCGGUUAACUUUCAUUGACUGAAUUUAACGGUUCAAAGGUGAAGAGCACCAAUGAUCUAAAACCUGAUAGAAUUUUCUGUGAAUGCAUGAACUUUAAA